GAUGAACGCUGGCGGCGUGCCUAAUACAUGCAAGUCGAGCGAACAGACGAGGAGCUUGCUCCUCUGACGUUAGCGGCGGACGGGUGAGUAACACGUGGAUAACCUACCUAUAAGACUGGGAUAACUUCGGGAAACCGGAGCUAAUACCGGAUAAUAUAUUGAACCGCAUGGUUCAAUAGUGAAAGACGGUUUUGCUGUCACUUAUAGAUGGAUCCGCGCCGCAUUAGCUAGUUGGUAAGGUAACGGCUUACCAAGGCAACGAUGCGUAGCCGACCUGAGAGGGUGAUCGGCCACACGGGACCUGAGCAACGGCCAGGACCCCUAGGGAGGGCAGAAGUAGGAAAUCUUGACAAUUGGGCGAAGGCUUGACCAGGAAAGGCGGGGGGGGUGAGAAGGCCCUUCGGUUGGUAAAAACCUGUUAUUGGGAAAGAACACAUGUGCAAGUAACGAUGCAGGUAUGACCGGAACCUAAGAAGAAGGCCACGCUUAAUUACGG
rnacentral:rRNA from 1 species